GGAGAUGUAGCUCAGUGGUAGAUCACUUGCCUAGUAUGUGUGAGGUCCUGGGUUCAAUUCCCAGUAUCUCCA
rfam:Fukomys damarensis contig107891, whole genome shotgun sequence.